rnacentral:snoRNA from 1 species
AAUCCGUGGUGCAGGCAACAUCGAAGUAAGUCCUUAUACCUUUUCCAAGCAUCAUACACGUUCUCAUCAUUGAACUACAUAAAAGAAGAUAUGUCAUUUCUCAAUCU